UACGUAGGCAGCAAGCGUUGUUCGGAGUUACUGGGCGUAAAGAGUGCGUAGGUGGUGCCCUAAGUCUGUUGUGAAAUCUCCCGGCUUAACUGGGAGGGUGCGGUGGAAACUGGGGUGCUUGAGUGUGGGAGAGGUAAGCGGAAUUCCUGGUGUAGCGGUGAAAUGCGUAGAUAUCAGGAGGAACACCGGUGGUGUAGACGGCUUACUGGACCACGACUGACGCUGAGGCACGAAAGCGUGGGGAGCAAACAGG
rnacentral:rRNA from 1 species